rnacentral:rRNA from 1 species
GUGCUGGAAGGUUAAGAGGACCGGUUAGUCACUUCGGUGGCGAAGCUGAGAAUUUAAGCCCCAGUAAACGGCGGUGGUAACUAUAACCAUCCUAAGGUAGCGAAAUUCCUUGUCGGGUAAGUUCCGACCUGCACGAAUGGCGUAACGACUUCUCUGCUGUCUCAACCACAGACUCGGCGAAAUUGCAGUACGAGUAAAGAUGCUCGUUACGCGCGGCAGGACGAAAAGACCCCGGGUCCUUCACUAUAGCUUGGUAUUGGUGUUCGGUUCGGUUUGUGUAGGAUAGGUGGGAGACUGUGAAGUGGGCACGCCAGUGUUCAUGGAGUCGUUGUUGAAAUACCACUCUGAUCGUAUUGGACUUCUAACCUCGGACCCUGAUCGGGUUCAGGGACAGUGCCUGGUGGGUAGUUUAACUGGGGCGGUUGCCUCCUAAAAGGUAACGGAGGCGCCCAAAGGUUCCCUCAGCCUGGUUGGCAAUCAGGUGUUGAGUGUAAGUGCACAAGGGAGCUUGACUGUGAGACGUACAUGUCGAGCAGGGACGAAAGUCGGGACUAGUGAUCCGGCACCGGCAAGUGGAAGCGGUGUCGCUCAACGGAUAAAAGGUACCCCGGGGAUAACAGGCUGAUCUUCCCCAAGAGUCCAUAUCGACGGGAUGGUUUGGCACCUCGAUGUCGGCUCGUCGCAUCCUGGGGCUGGAGUAGGUCCCAAGGGUUGGGCUGUUCGCCCAUUAAAGCGGCACGCGAGCUGGGUUUAGAACGUCGUGAGACAGUUCGGUCUCUAUCCGCCGCGCGCGUAAGAAACUUGAGGAAACCUGUCCCUAGUACGAGAGGACCGGGACGGACGAACCUCUGGUGUGCCAGUUGUCCCGCCAGGGGCACUGCUGGUUAGCUACGUUCGGAAGGGAUAACCGCUGAAAGCAUCUAAGCGGGAAGCCUGUUCCAAGAUGAGGUUUCUCACCCCCCUCAGCGGGGUUAAGGCCCCCUACAGACCAUGGGGUUGAUAGGCCAGAACUGUACGCACAGCAAUGUGUUCAGGUGACUGGUACUAAUCGGCCGAGGACUUACCAAC